UAUUAACAUGAGACACAGUGAUGGUGGGUUGUGUUUAGGAGUAGUAUUAACAUGAGACACAGUGAUGGUGGGUUGUGUUUAGGAGUAGUAUUAACAUGAGACAGUGAUGGUGGGUUGUGUUUAGGAGUAGUAUUAACAUGAGACACAGUGAUGGUGGGUUGUGUUUAGGAGUAGUAUUAACAUGAGACACAGUGAUGGUGGGUUGUGUUUAGGAGUAGUAUUAACAUGAGACACAGUGAUGGUGGGUUGUGUUUAGGAGUAGUAUUAACAUGAGACACAGUGAUGGUGGGUUGUGUUUAGGAGUAGUAUUAACAUGAGACAGUGAUGGUGGGUUGUGUUUAGGAGUAGUAUUAACAUGAGACACAGUGAUGGUGGGUUGUGUUUAGGAGUAGUAUUAACAUGAGACACAGUGAUGGUGGGUUGUGUUUAGGAGUAGUAUUAACAUGAGACACAGUGAUGGUGGGUUGUGUUUAGGAGUAGUAUUAACAUGAGACAGUGAUGGUGGGUUGUGUUUAGGAGUAGUAUUAACAUGAGACACAGUGAUGGUGGGUUGUGUUUAGGAGUAGUAUUAACAUGAGACACAGUGAUGGUGGGUUGUGUUUAGGAGUAGUAUUAACAUGAGACACAGUGAUGGUGGGUUGUGUUUAGGAGUAGUAUUAACAUGAGACACAGUGAUGGUGGGUUGUGUUUAGGAGUAGUAUUAACAUGAGACACAGUGAUGGUGGGUUGUGUUUAGGAGUAGUAUUAACAUGAGACACAGUGAUGGUGGGUUGUGUUUAGGAGUAGUAUUAACAUGAGACAGUGAUGGUGGGUUGUGUUUAGGAGUAGUAUUAACAUGAGACACAGUGAUGGUGGGUUGUGUUUAGGAGUAGUAUUAACAUGAGACACAGUGAUGGUGGGUUGUGUUUAGGAGUAGUAUUAACAUGAGACAGUGAUGGUGGGUUGUGUUUAGGAGUAGUAUUAACAUGAGACACAGUGAUGU